AGCGAACGCUGGCGGCAGGCCUAACACAUGCAAGUCGAACGGAUCCUUCGGGAUUAGUGGCGGACGGGUGAGUAACACGUGGGAACGUGCCCUUUGGUUCGGAACAACUCAGGGAAACUUGAGCUAAUACCGGAUGUGCCCUUCGGGGGAAAGAUUUAUCGCCAUUGGAGCGGCCCGCGUCUGAUUAGCUAGUUGGUGGGGUAAAGGCCCACCAAGGCGACGAUCAGUAGCUGGUCUGAGAGGAUGAUCAGCCACAUUGGGACUGAGACACGGCCCAAACUCCUACGGGAGGCAGCAGUGGGGAAUCUUGCGCAAUGGGCGAAAGCCUGACGCGGCCAUGCCGCGUGAAUGAUGAAGGUCUUAGGAUUGUAAAAUUCUUUCACCGGGGACGAUAAUGACGGUACCCGGAGAAGAAGCCCCGGCUAACUUCGUGCCAGCAGCCGCAGUAAUAC
rnacentral:rRNA from 1 species